rnacentral:rRNA from 1 species
AGUCGAACGAUGAACCACUUCGGUGGGGAUUAGUGGCGAACGGGUGAGUAACACGUGGGCAAUCUGCCCUUCACUCUGGGACAAGCCCUGGAAACGGGGUCUAAUACCGGAUACNACACUCUCGGGCAUCCGAUGAGUGUGGAAAGCUCCGGCGGUGAAGGAUGAGCCCGCGGCCUAUCAGCUUGUUGGUGAGGUAACGGCUCACCAAGCGACGACGGGUAGCCGGCCUGAGAGGGCGACCGGCCACACUGGGACUGAGACACGGCCCAGACUUCCUACGGGAGGCAGCAGUGGGGAAUAUUGCACAAUGGGCGAAAGCCUGAUGCAGCGACCCGCGUGAGGGAUGACGGCCUUCGGGUUGUAAACCUCUUUCA